rnacentral:rRNA from 1 species
UACGUAGGGUGCAAGCGUUAAUCGGAAUUACUGGGCGUAAAGCGUGCGCAGGCGGCUUUGCAAGACAGAUGUGAAAUCCCCGGGCUUAACCUGGGAACUGCAUUUGUGACUGCAUGGCUAGAGUGCGGCAGAGGGGGAUGGAAUUCCGCGUGUAGCAGUGAAAUGCGUAGAUAUGCGGAGGAACACCGAUGGCGAAGGCAAUCCCCUGGGCCUGCACUGGCGCUCAUGCACGAAAGCGUGGGGAGCAAACAGG